rnacentral:rRNA from 1 species
UACGUAGGUGGCAAGCGUUGUCCGGAAUUAUUGGGCGUAAAGCGCGCGCAGGCGGUCCCUUAAGUCUGAUGUGAAAGCCCACGGCUCAACCGUGGAGGGUCGUUGGAAACUGGGGGACUUGAGUACAGAAGAGGAAAGCGGAAUUCCACGUGUAGCGGUGAAAUGCGUAGAGAUGUGGAGGAACACCAGUGGCGAAGGCGGCUUUCUGGUCUGUAACUGACGCUGAGGCGCGAAAGCGUGGGGAGCAAACAGG